GGCGGCACGCCUAACACAUGCAAGUCGAGCGGCAGCGAGGUUAGUAGCAAUACUAACUGUCGGCGAGCGGCGGACGGGUGAGGAACACGUAGGAACCUACCCUCGAGCGGGGGACAACCAAGGGAAACUUUGGCUAAUACCGCAUGAACUCGAAAGAGGAAAGUUGCCUGAAAGGGUGAUACUUGAGGAGGGGCCUGCGUCCGAUUAGCUAGUUGGUAGGGUAACGGCCUACCAAGGCGAUGAUCGGUAACUGGUCUGAGAGGACGGCCAGCCACACUGGGACUGAGACACGGCCCAGACUCCUACGGGAGGCAGCAGUGGGGAAUAUUGGACAAUGGGGGCAACCCUGAUCCAGCGAUGCCGCGUGAGUGAAGAAGGCCUUCGGGUCGUAAAGCUCUUUAGGCUGGGAAGAAUGUUUAUCUGAAGAUAAUGCAGAUAGAUUGACGGUACCGGCAGAAUAAGCACCGGCAAACUCUGUGCCAGCAGCCGCGGUAAUACAGAGGGUGCGAGCGUUAAUCGGAAUUACUGGGCGUAAAGGGUGCGUAGGCGGUUUUGA
rnacentral:rRNA from 1 species